GGGGGCGACCUGGCUUCGACGGGGGCAUUGAAGUCUGAGACGCGUGCCGAGCUUGCUGGAUGACUCGUUAAACCGACCGGCAAAAACACAAAAGCCAACGACAACGUUGAGCUCGCUCUCGCUGCUUAACCAGCGUUAAGAGUGCGGUCCCCUGGGUCUCGGCCUGUGGGCUCAGAAGGACCGUCAUAAUGCAGGCUGGCUGACCGGGGCGCCCUGAACCCGGCUGGCGAGACUUUUCAGGGACCGGCCCGCAGCAUCCCGUCCGUGGGAGUCUGCGACGCCUAAAUCAAACCACGGACUACGCACGUAGGGUCGAAAGAUGGAAGGCUUUCGGACGCGGGUUCGAUUCCCGCCGCCUCCACUG
rnacentral:tmRNA from 1 species